GACAGAGGUGCCGAGCGUUAGGCGGAAUCACUGGGCUUAAAGCGUGUGUAGGCGGGCGGGCAAGUACCUUGUGAAAUCCCACGGCUCAACCGUGGAACGGCUGGGUAUACUGCCUGUCUUGAGCCAACUAGGGGCGAGCGGAACAGACGGGUGGAGCGGUGAAAUGCGUAGAUAUCGUCUGGAACGCCAAAGGUGAAAACAGCUCGCUGGGGUUGUGCUGACGCUGAGACACGAAAGCCAGGGGAGCGAACGGG
rnacentral:rRNA from 1 species